AGCAAACCACGCAUUCCCGACGACCGUGCCGCGCCGACAUCCAUAGCUGCCACUCGCUCCUUUUUAUUUUCUUCCUUUCCAGUCUUCCGUGCCGUUAGACUCGAUCGCUCGCUAGCUUGAAAUGGAGCAUCAGUACUUUUUCAUCGAGGCCACGUGGCUGGAGGCGGCGGCAGCUGGUAUUUGCUCACGCAACGGAAUCAUCUUGAAGGAUGCCAUCGCCAAGGCGGAGAAGGGCAUACCAGUUCAGAUCAAAAACGACUCCGCUCCGACUAUGCACAGUCUCAUCCAAACGACACAUGCCUCGCUGGAGCAGGCCUGCGAGCGAUACUUACAUCAAAACGCGCGGAAUCUUCGACUCACCCGAGCAAGCAAGCCAACACCUGCCGUGGAGGCCCUCAACGAGGCGGAGCGCGCGUCCUGCCGCGAGCUAGUGGUGCGCAUCGCCAUCACAGGUGCCCUGACGCAAUACCAGCGCUGCACACGCAAGUGCAUCUUGCAGGACUCGAGCUCGUUCUCCCCGUCCUCGUCUCAUCCAGUUGUGUCUGCGAGCAAGACCGUGCAGGGAAACGGUGUGACAGAGACGCAGCUGGAGCGCAGUUUACAGACGACGCUUUUGAAGGGGCUUCUGUACGCCUUCGAGUCCUUUCAGGAGUGCCACUCCAUGAACCGCGAUCACUAUCCGCCACGCGUGGACAGUAACACUCCCGGCACUGUCGGCUGGGAUACCCUUGUGCUGCUGUACCUGGUUCACCGCAUACCGCAAGUCGCCCGCCACGCGAGUGGCAGCGCCAUUGACGAUUGCAUCGGGCAGGUGAUACGAACGUGGCGCAAGCUGUUGGUUGCACUCCAGUCUGUAGACGCCCAGGAAGCUCCCGAGCACUCGCGCCGUCGCGGGGCCCUCUCCCUCGUGAACGGUCUCCUCAUCAUUCUGUUUCAGCGCUACAACACUCACCAGUGCGCCGUACUCUUGGGUGCCGUGGAGCAUGCAGAGAAUGUCGCCGAGUCAUCCAAAGAGCCGGCACGCUCCAUCCUACACCCUUCGCGGCACAUGGUGUCAGAGGUGGUCACCUAUCACUACUAUCAAGGCCGGAUGCGCUUGUACGAGCGGAAGCUCGACGAAGCCCACCGCAUUUUGCGGAUAGCUUACACGCUUUUGCCGCCCGCAGGGUUCGGCAAUGAGCCUCAGCGCCUCAACAAGGAGCGGGUGCGCUUCUUUCUCUCUGUGGCCGGUGUAGCGAAUGGGCGGCGCAUCCCCGCUGAGAUUCUGCGCGCCGACGAGGAUUUGCUCCCGCGCCUGUUCGGUUCCUUGACCGCGGCCAUUGAGCGAGGGGACCCGGUGCGCUUCUCCGGUGCUCUCGACAGCAACGCCUCGACGUUCCAUCGCCGCGGCGUGUAUCUAAUUCUGCAGCAGGCAAAGAUCCUCUGCUAUCUCAUGGUGGUCGCCCGUGUGCACGCCGCCAUGGCGGCACUUUCUGACGUGGACAACAGCCGUAUCACAAUUCCAACGUUGCUGGCCGCGUACACCUACAUCACCAGCGAGGAGCCGCAGAGUGGGAAGCCGUCCGCAGAGUCGAAGAAACGCUCACGAGACGACGAGGCUGUGCCGCCAGUCUCUGAGGCUUGCAUGGCGGAGAGCGUUAUGGAUGAAGACCGCAUGGCGCUCUGGAUUGCGAAACUCAUUGCGCGAGGAUAUGUGCGUGGGUACUACUCGCACGAGCACAAGACGCUGGUGUUGUCAAAGAAGGUCCCCUUUCCCCUCUUACAAGAAGAGGUGUGAGCUAUGGAGGUGAGGCACAACAUGCGGGGUGGAAGCGGAGGCGAAGCCGGGUGGGCCCAUCACCGCACCAUUGGAGAGAAUCACGUAGGUCUAACGUGAGGAGAAGUCUGAGCGAGGGAGUACAGGGGCAGAACUCUAGCCGAUGAAGGCCUCCGUGUUGGCUGCGUCGCUAUUCACCCCUCUCCGUCUCUCUUCCUCUUUUCACGUCCGCUUCUGUUGUCCUUUUUUUGUUUGCCUAUUUUAUCUGCCUUUGCGAGCCACCUCUUUGGUCACCUGAGGUAGGCAGAGAGUCGUGUGCCGCCUGAAGCGACCUCGUGCCACCUCCGCUCGAGUUUCAGCAAAGAGAUACACUGCGAUGUCACACGGACUACACGGGCUGAGACCGGCUCCGCAUGAAGGCAUCUAAUCAUCUACCAUACAAGAGCACUG
rnacentral:misc_RNA from 1 species